GGAUUCCCCUAGUAACUGCGAGUGAAGCGGGAAAAGCUCAAAUUUAAAAUCUGGCGGUCUUUGGCUGUCCGAGUUGUAAUCUAGAGAAGUGCUACCCGCGCUGGACCGUGUACAAGUCUCCUGGAAUGGAGCGUCAUAGAGGGUGAGAAUCCCGUCUCUGACACGGACUACCAGGGCUUUGUGGUACGCUCUCAAAGAGUCGAGUUGUUUGGGAAUGCAGCUCUAAAUGGGUGGUAAAUUCCAUCUAAAGCUAAAUAUUGGCGAGAGACCGAUAGCGAACAAGUACCGUGAGGGAAAGAUGAAAAGAACUUUGGAAAGAGAGUUAAACAGUACGUGAAAUUGCUGAAAGGGAAACGCUUGAAGUCAGUCGCGUUGGCCAGGGAUCAGCCUCGCUUUGCGUGGUGUACUUUCUGGUUAACGGGUCAGCAUCAAUUUUGACUGCUGGAAAAAGGCUUGGGGAAUGUGGCAGCUUCGGCUGUGUUAUAGCCCUUUGUCAUAUACAGUGGUUGGGAUUGAGGAACUCAGCACGCCGCAAGGCCGGGUUUCGACCACGUUCGUGCUUAGGAUGCUGGCAUAAUGGCUUUAAGCGACCCGUCUUGAAACACGGACCAAGGAGUCUAACAUGCCUGCGAGUGUUUGGGUGGAAAACCCGAGCGCGUAAUGAAAGUGAAAGUUGAGAUCCCUGUCGUGGGGAGCAUCGACGCCCGGACCAGAACUUUUGGGACGGAUCCGCGGUAGAGCAUGUAUGUUGGGACCCGAAAGAUGGUGAACUAUGCCUGAAUAGGGUGAAGCCAGAGGAAACUCUGGUGGAGGCUCGUAGCGAUUCUGACGUGCAAAUCGAUCGUCAAAUUUGGGUAUAGGGGCGAAAGACUAAUCGA
rnacentral:rRNA from 1 species